rnacentral:rRNA from 1 species
AUUGAACGCUGGCGGCAGGCCUAACACAUGCAAGUCGAGCGGAUGAAGAGAGCUUGCUCUCUGAUUCAGCGGCGGACGGGUGAGUAAUGCCUAGGAAUCUGCCUGGUAGUGGGGGACAACGUUUCGAAAGGAACGCUAAUGCCGCAUACGUCCUACGGGAGAAAGCAGGGGACCUUCGGGCCUUGCGCUAUCAGAUGAGCCUAGGUUGGAUUAGCUAGUAGGUGAGGUAAUGGCUCACCUAGGCGACGAUCCGUAACUGGUCUGAGAGGAUGAUCAGUCACACUGGAACUGAGACACGGUCCAGACUCCUACGGGAGGCAGCAGUGGGGAAUAUUGGACAAUGGGCGAAAGCCUGAUCCAGCCAUGCCGCGUGUGUGAAGAAGGUCUUCGGAUUGUAAAGCACUUUAAGUUGGGAGGAAGGGCAGUAAGUUAAUACCUUGCUGUUUUGACGUUACCAACAGAAUAAGCACCGGCUAACUUCGUGCCAGCCGCCGCAGUAACAC